GCCUCACGGCGUCCGGAGGUGAACCGGGAGGCCCCGCCCCGUGAGGCUGCGUCAGUGCUGGUGACGUCACGCCUGCAUGACGCCAGCGGCCCGUGCGCUAAACCCGGCCUGGGCGUGCUCUGGGCCUCUGCGGAGCGGAACUGUCGGCCCUCGGAGCUCCUGAACCGACGGCUGACGGCGCGAAGCACCUGCGCCCGGUGAAGGUUUGUACCUCCUCUCCCGUGUCGGGUCUUCACCCGGUGACGCACCUGGCGUCAGCUCGCACCUGCCUCCCGGGCCGGGUGUCUCAGGCUCGCGCUGCGGAGACAGCGAGCCGAGCUCUUCAGCUGGCGCGUGCUACCCAGAGCUCCGGGGGCGGCCUCCCGAACCCCGCGGGAGGAUGAGCGACGCCAACCUGUGUCAGAGCUUCGGAGUCCAUGCACUGUGCGGGUCACAUCCACUGGACGCCUCUGACGUCUGAGAACCGCCAGGAACGCAGCUCCCAGGUAGGCUCCCCACCCAGUAUUGGGUUCAGAAGCUCACAACCUGAGAUCAAGAGUCACAUGCUGUACUGAUUGAAUCAGCCAGGAGCCCUGGAUUUUUUUUUUCCUUAGUAAAAAUAGAAUGCAGGCUGGCAAAAUGAGAGGAAACAAAUCAGGAAAAGAAAACAGGAAACAUUGGAAAGAUAAAUAGAGUCUUUCCUGUGAAGGGUGUUCUCUUCAUUGUAGUCACUCAGGACUGUAUGAAAUGCUGUCAUUUACCCUACCAGGAGGACAAGAGGAUGCAGAGAAGCAUGCACUUGCUCUAAAACCUUCUGGCAAGAAGUGACACAGGCUGCUUAUGCUCACAUUCUGUUGAUGAAAGCAAGAACAGAGACCUAAUUUCAAGUGAGGAGUGAAGUACAAUCCUACCAUGUGCCUGGAACCAGGGAGAACCAGAAUAUAUGCGGCACUAAUGGCUGCCACAGAAAAGAACUGAAUAGUAACACCAACAAAUGCAAACUGCAACAGUAACAAGUCCUAUGGAGGGAAGGAGGAAGACACUAAGCUAUGACUGUGUGCCAAUAAUGGGGAAUGUGAUCUAGACAGAGCUAUAUAUGGGCAUACGCCUAAAGUUCUCAUCAAAGGAAUAUGAGCAGAAAAGUCUUACAUGCCUCUCUUAAAAAGAAAAUUUGCUUCCUUCUCCUUCUCUUCCUGCAUCCCACAGGAUUUAAUGAAGUCACAAAGGACUUUUGUUUACUAGUCACAAAUUAAACUCUUUGUUUAGAGAGGUAUUCUGUGUACCUUUACGUAAGUGAUAUGGCUGGAGAAGAGGGUAAGGAUGGCAAGUGGAGAGAGGAGAAGGAGCAGGAUAUUCAGGCCCUCUCAGAAGAGCUGCCGUUCAUCCAGGCUUCUGGGAUACCUGAAGCUAAAUCUUCUUGAAAUCUACUUUUUCAUCUCACUGUACUCAUACAUCUUGCAUGCCAGAAGCUUCCCCUCCAAUCAUCUCUCUCUGACUUGAAACCCAACUCAUGUAAGGCCAGGAUGGAGUGAUAGGGACUAGAUAUACCCUCUCACCUGAAGAAAAAAAAAAAAAAAAAAACUGGAAAAAGGUAAAAAGUAAAAAAUAAAAACCGCUUUUAAGACACUGGAUAUCGGACAACAUAAGACAGUCAUCUCGGAGCGGUGGGAAACAAACAAGGAGGCACCACACUCACCACGGAGCCCGAUUCAGGGCUCAAACUCAUGACCCUGAGAUCAACACCUUGAGAUGAGCUCAAGGGUCAGACACUUAACUGUCUGAGCCACCUCGGCACCCACAGCAGUGUGACUUGGAUGGAAUUGGAGGGUAUUAUGCUGAGUGAAUGAGAGUUUUGAAAGACUACAAAUGAAUCAAAAUAGAAAAAAGAAAUGCUAGAAAAGAAAAGCAGCAUCCAUAAUAUGGUUUCAUCUUACAUAACUCUUAACACCAAAAUGCAGGACUCAAGUAAACAACACAGGGAUCAUCUCACACAAGCACAAAGGAAGCAUGAAAAACGCUGAACCUGAGCAUCAAAAGACCUGUGAGAAUUUACUCUGGCUCCUCCGCUAACUGCCUAUGUGAUGAGUUGUCAAGUCUUCAGGGAGCCUCAACACUUGGAACAAGGAAAGAGGAUCUCUCCCUCCAAGAAGUGAACUACAUGUUGUAUCUGAGCAUCCGUUUAUUCAUGUAUUCAUUCUUCCAAUUGACAAAUUGACCAUCUCCUCUGUGUCAGGCAAUAUGACGCACAGUGACCCAGGGAUGAAUAAGACAGACAAGCUCUCAUGGAGCUUACAUUUACUAUGGGAGAGAAACAAUAAAAACAAUAAAAAGUCAUUAAACAGAUUAAUCUUAUAUGCUGAUAGUGAUAAGUGCUUUGACACUAACAUGUGACAAGUGUGACAGAGGAAUGGUACAUUAGACUGGGUGGUCAUGUGAGGCAUCCCUGCAGAUGUGAUUCUGAAUUUGGAAUGUGACUGACAAGAAGGAAUCAACCCUCUGAAGAUCUGGAGGAAGAGUGUUCCAGAUAGAAUGGCAAGUCCAAUCACCCUGCAGAUGUGAUUCUGAAUUUCGAAUGUGACUGACAAGAAGGAAUCAACCCUCUGAAGAUCUGGAGGAAGAGUGUUCCAGAUAGAAUGGCAAGUCCAAAGUCCAAGGAAAGAAGAGCAUAAAGAGCUCACGAAAGAGUGGAAGGAAAUCUUAUUGAUUUGGCAGGCCCAAACCUAAUGGGUGUGCGUGUGUUCCCAAGGCUUAGGACCAAGUCCUGUGGACCGGCAGUUCUCUGUCUGUGUAGGAUCAACGAAGGGAUGAGGCCUACAUCUUGAAAAGCUGAAGACCAGCGGUGGAGGAAUACUAAUUGUCACCCUUGAAGCUGCAGGACAGUACAAGUAUUGCUUCGUUUUUACAGAUAAGGAAUCACUUAUUAUAAAUGAGAUUGAAUAGACGAGAAGGGCACACAAAGCAGAAACUUGUCUCUAAUAACCAUAGAUAGCAACUUUCAUUAUAAUUUCAAAUUCUAGAAAAGUCAUCCUCUCUCCCUGCCCAUUCACCCAAAGAAAUGGUACCCGUUUGUAUUUUUGCUCCAGCUACCCACAACUCAAUCAAAUUGUAUAUUCUUUUUUUUUUUAAGAUUUUAUUUAUUUAUUCAUGAGAGACACAGAGAGAGGCUCCCUACAGGGAGCCUGAUGUAGGACUAGAUCCCGGGUCUCCAGGAUCAGGCUAACUGAGCUACCUGGGCUGCCCCCAAAUUGUAUAUUCUUUUUUUUUUUUUUUUCCAAAUUGUAUAUUCUUUAUUGCAGUUCAUAUUCUCCUUAUUUUGCUGUUAUCUACUGUAUGGUGUAAAUAACUUCAAACCUUUCGUGGAAAAAGUAUAAAAGAUUAAAAUACAUAAAUAGAUAUUGUAGAGAAAGUCAGUGCAAAAAGAAGCUGGGGAGAAAUGUUUGGGUGGCUAAACAAAUCUGAGGAACUCAAUAGCAGCAAAGGAAAAUUAUUUCUUUUAUCGGAGAGAUUGUAUUUAGUGACUAAGGAGAUAAGUGCCACCUGCUGACAAAAUCUUAAAGACCUAGCAUUCCAAGUUUCUUAGAAUCUGAUUAGACAUCUGUCUGACUCCUCAUAACUUCAUAGGUGGAUAAGAAGGGAGCCCAGAGGCAUGACUGUUUCCUCUAAAAUAAAGACUAUUCCAUACCUAAACUACUCUAAACAGUUUGUUGCCUCAAACCAACCAAAGGUAAAGGCCUUUCACCUUUGCCAAAUACCUGCUUCACAAGAGCCGCUCAGAAGCAAGGGACUACAUUGGAAAUGAAAUGUGAAGCCCAGGUAGGGCAAAAAGCCUCACUCCAAGCUGCUGUUUAGUGUCCUUCGGGCUUUUGCUUCAUACUCAGGACUAAAAUAACUUCACUUGGAGUAGAAAAGACAGUAUACCUGACCUAUCUGCCAAGAAACCCAUCAUUUGUAAGCUUUUGGUGACAAGGGCACUAGACUUAAUAAACAUUAAAAUGAAACACAUGAAGAAGGGAAUUUGACAAAAGGAUUGAUGGUUAAGGUGACCUCAGUUAACUUUUAAGUUUGUGGCACACAGAAAAGGCAGUGUCAUGGUUUCUAGGCACUUAAUGGUCUGUAUUGUUGCCACAGUAAUAACAAAGUUCAGAUCUCAGGAAAGGACAUUAUUAGUGGGGAAAGAUCAUGGGAUUUGGAGUCAGGAGAACUGGAUUACAGUGCAAACCCUGUUGCUCACUAUUUGUGAGCUUUCUGGAAAGGGUCUUAACCUUUUUGGACUUCAGUUUCAUCAUCUAUAAAAUGAAACUUCCGAUACUUGCCUGCCCAACCAAUAAGUUGGUAUGAUGAUCAUGUGCAGUGAAUUAUGAAUUAUGAAUAGACAUGUAUUCAUGAUUUGUAUUUUCUUAUCUUUUGAUAAGCUUUAUGUGGAUAAUUAAAUACCUCCAAGAUAGGCAAUUACUCUUUAACGUCUAAGUCCAUCUAAAAUUAAGAAGCACUUAGUACAGUUCCUAUGCAAUCAAGCACUAAUAGAUGUAUCUUGUUAAAACUAUCAAAAGUAAUGGAACAUUAUGCACCCAGAACUAAUCCCCAAGUCACUCUCCUUAACCAGAACUUUCACCAGAACAGAGUAGCCUUAGGUUGAGGGAUAGUCAAUACAGCUAGUUUAAAAGGGCAGCACAGCGGUACCUGGGUGGCUCAGUGGUUGAGUAUCUGCCUUCGGCUCCAAGUUUGAUCCCAGGAUCCUGGGAUCGAGUCCCAUAUCAGACUCCCUGCAGGGAGCCUCCUUCUCCCUCUGCCCGCCUAUCUCUUGGCCUCUCUCUGUGUGUCUCUCAUUAAUAAAUGCAUAAUCUUUAAACAAAUAAAAUAAAAAAUAAAAGGGCAGCACAGGACCAUAGAGCCAGAUGACCUGGGUUCAAAUUUCAGUUCUCACAUUCAGUAGCUAAAUGAUCUUGGACAAGUUACUUUAAUUUCUUAGGGCCUUAAUUUAAUCUUUCCAUAUGUGAAAUGGGGUAAAAGUACCAACUCCAAAGAGUUAUUGUGAGGAUUAACAAUAUUUCUGGAAAAAAAAAAAAAACAAUAUUUCUGGAAAAAAAAACAAAAAACAAUGUUUCUGAAGUACUUUAUGACAGAUACCUGGAACCGAGUAAA